rnacentral:rRNA from 1 species
UACGGGGGGGGCAAGCGUUGUUCGGAAUUACUGGGCGUAAAGGGCCAGUAGGCGGCCAACUAAGUCGGACGUGAAAUCCCCAGGCUCAACCUGGGAACUGCGUCCGAUACUGGAUGGCUUGAAUUCGGGAGAGGGAUGCAGAAUUCCAGGUGUAGCGGUGAAAUGCGCAGAUAUCAGGAGGAACACCAGCGGCGAAGGCGGCGCUCUGGGCCGGUACUGACACUGAGGAGCGAAAGCGUGGGUAGCAAACAGG